rnacentral:rRNA from 1 species
UGGGGAAUCUUGCGCAAUGGGCGAAAGCCUGACGCAGCAACGCCGCGUGCGGGAUGAAGGCCUUCGGGUUGUAAACCGCUUUCAGUGGGGACGAACCAAGACGGUACCCACAGAAGAAGCCCCGGCCAACUACGUGCCAGCAGCCGCGGUAACACGUAGGGGGCAAGCGUUGUCCGGAUUUAUUGGGCGUAAAGAGCUCGUAGGUGGUUCAGUAAGUCGGGUGUGAAACCUCCAGGCUCAACCUGGAGACGCCACCCGAUACUGCUGUGACUAGAGUCCAGUAGGGGAGCAUGGAAUUCCUGGUGUAGCGGUGAAAUGCGCAGAUAUCAGGAGGAACACCAGUGGCGAAGGCGGUGCUCUGGGCUGGAACUGACACUGAGGAGCGAAAGCGUGGGGAGCGAACA